UGGGCGCCGCCAUGUUGUACGGCAGCUGCCGGCCGGGUGGCUGAGGCGGGCGCGCGGCGGCUGCCGGUACACGGUACCGGCCCGGCUCGUCUCAAAGCACUAGGCCACAUCCGCGGUGCCGAGCCUGGAGCGUGAUCUGCCGCCUCGGUCACGUAGGGCCUCCGCUCGUACCCGUGGGUUAAGGAGCACUGUGGGCCACCCGGGCCCAGAGAGCACCAUGAGGUGGACGGGCGAAGCGAAGGCUGCGGCACAGGCGGCGGGAUUGGCGGCCGCUGAGAUCAGCGCUGACCUGCCGCCUCGGGCGGGAGCGGGCCCGGCGGCGCAGGCAGGGCCGCCUCAGCGCUAGGAAGCACAGCCGGAGCCGGGGAACAGGCAGCGAAGAACAAAGGCAGACCAGAAAAUGAAAAGCAAAUCAUAGCCGCCUCCAAAGCGGCAAACUGGAAGAAAACAAAAAGGGAAAAAUCAAGUGGAAAGGAUUAUGAGUUUAACAGAGGAAUAAGAGUGGCGAAGCCCGUAUCGGGGUGGAAAACGAUGAACGUCAGAACUGCAACACUCCAGCACACAAACCACGGGGGAGGUCUGCAUCUGCCUUAUGGUCACAACCUGGCCACAGUAUCUCCAUCCGUCCCCUACGAUCCAAUCCACCACAGACAGCUGAUGAGCUGAAAUGGAGGCCAGCGAGCAGAAGCCAGCACUACACCAGCGCUCCCCACAUGACUCAUGCUCUGAAGAAAAGUGCUUCACGUGCAUUCCCAGGAGAAAAAGCUCUAGGGGUCUGGCUAUAACGUGAGUUCCCACAGUCAGAUGGAUAUGUUCUCCCUCCUUCCCUUCACCCCUUCCCAACAUAUAAUGCUUUGUUCUACAUGGUCAUUGUAACCUAGCAUAAACCUGGAUGGCCACUUGGAAGGGUAGUCCCACAUUUCCUGUUCAACCUGAUUGUUCACUCCCUGCUUCCUUGUUCCAGCAUUUCUGUAAUGACAGGGUCAGGGAAUCAGGAAACUGAUGCAGCUGUAAACUAGUUCAAGGAAAAAAAAUCAACAUCCGUGGACAUAACAGACAUAUUUCAAGGCCUAGGUGACUGGAAGGAGACCCUGGAAGCCAAUAUGACUGGGCCCCAGGAUCCAGCUGCCAUGUUCAGAGGUAGGCAAGGCAUUCUUAGGAGAACUCUUAUCAGAGCUGAGGAUAAGCUCAGAAUAGUGACCAAAUCCAAACAAAUCUGCAAAGUUUGUUUGUAGCUGGAUCCAUUUGUAAUAAACUGGCACCCACCAAGAAAUCUAAAAUAGGCCAGUGUUUCCUUUUACAAAUCGUUUAUUUUAGUUUCUAAGGUAAUAGGAGCUUAAGUGUAAAGUUACAAGAGAGGAAAACAGUAAAAUACCCCAGCAUUUAUUACACAGUGAAAGUUUCACAGAGAAGAUGCUAUAUAAUGGAACCCCCAAGUCUAGCUUUUCUACAAUAACAGGAUUGCAUCCUUGGCUGCACUUAAAACCUUUAUUUUUCAUGGCAUCACUGACAGAGCCCUGUAAACCACAAGUCUCUUUAACAGCUUGUCUUACUACCUACAUAGCCAUUUAUUCAAGUAUAAAGGUUAAAUUAAAAAUAAAUUAAAGCAACUGAUGCAUGAGUGUACCCAAAGCCUGAUGGGGACAUUGGUGAAGAUGAGAAGAUAACCAAGUAAGUAACACUAGCUGCUGGCUUAGCCUGACUUAAAUCUGUUGCAGCAGGUAGCUGGAAGCCUUUAUGUGGUAAACAGCAAGAUUUACUUUUCUUUCUGCCUCUAUAGCUUGAUCUGGGAUCUCUGCAGAGGUCUUUGUCAAAAAGACUCAUUUUUAGCCUGAUUUCCCAAGGAAAGGCUUUUGCAAUUACAUUGUCUGUUGAUGUUUCUGCCUGUGAGUCCCCUUUCUUCCUUUUCCUUGCCAAAAGAGCAUGUUUAAGCCGUUGCCUAAUUCCAUCUAAAUUUGUACAAAGGUAACUUCUGUGAAAUGCAAAGCCAAAUUGAUGAAACAGAUCCUAAUAAAGCUGUCACUGAUAAAGUGGCAAGCAUGUACAGAUGCUGCUUAAUAUACAUAUGAGAAUGCACAUAGCAGUGCCACAUCAGGACAAGUCCAUAGGAAACCAGGCUUCACUUGUUCUGCUGAUCACAGAAAAAAAAAAUAAAAUAAAAUUUUUAUAAUCGCAUUAGCUCAUCCUUUAACAGGGAGAAGACCAGGGUAAAUGACUUAGUGUUCAAAGGAAAAUCAAUGAUCAUGGAAUAUCAAAGGAAAGAGGCUCCAGUCAAGACUCAAAUUGCUGUUAGCAGACAAUGCGCAGAGAGCUGCAUGUAGUCCCCACUAGCUCAUUAAUAACCCUCUAUUUGGGGCCCCAUCCCAAGCUACAGAAGAAAGCCAACCUCACAUUUCAAGUGCUAAUGCCAUUUAUCUUCCUUGUGUCAAUGCUAGGAACCCCAUGACUAUAUAUUCAAGCAAGUCAUUUUGAGCAGGGUUUGUUUUAGCAUGGCUGAUACCAGUGAGACAGUAGGACUGCUUCUUUCAUUAAAAGUCAGAAUGAGAUCAGUUUCAAUCCACUGUGAAGCCACAUCCUAAAGGUGGAGUUUCACACUGCAACGAGGCAGAUAGAAGGUUCAGCUCCCAUGGAAAAGGCAUUCUGCUUCCCCUUUCUACCUGUAGCUAUUCUUCUACUGCCUCACUUCUGCAAACACUGGUGCCAAUCUGGUUGAAGGAAUUAAGCAAGCAGAAAGCUAGCACAGCAAAAAAAUUGAGGCUUUUUUCAACCAACUCCUUUGGUUGAACUAGCUCACCAUAGAGCCAGAUCUCAGUGAAACUACAUCCUAAGCCAAAAGAUGAAUCAGCAGUAACUCACUGCGGGGAUCUGCCAGAGUUUGCAGGUUUUGCAGAGAAUCUGAAAAAACUGCUCAGAGGUGUGAGCUGCCAGAUUGAUCCCAUGAGGAUGAGUUGUAUUAACACUGAUCACCAUCAACAUAUUUUUUCAUUAACUGCCAACUCUUUCAUUGCUGAUGUAGGAAUAGAGAGGAAUGUCACAAUUCCGUUUAUUGAAAGGCCGCUUAACUUACCCCAGUGGUUCAGUUCCAGAAUGCCCACUAAGUAAGCCUCACAGUUCCUGGGCAGCUAAGAAGGUGGUAUCCCCAUCUCCCAAAACUCCACUCCCAGCUGGGCACUCCUGACUAGUCUGUGCUGAUUUUGGCACUCACUGGGACACUUCCAUGAGCCAAAUGAACUCAGAAAAACAGCAGACAAGCAGGUCCAAAGAGUAGCAACUUCGGCAUAAAGAAAGGGACAGAACAAGUAGCCACAAAGAUAAAGCCACUUUUCAGUGGCCACAAGUCAUUAGUAACAUGGGCUCAGCUGCAUGUUAAAGCAACAUCUUUAGCUGACCAGCUCCAAGGGAAGGCAUUUGAGAGAACAAUGCCUGUUCUUCCCCUACUUUUUGGUCCCUGAAAUUAGUAAGCAAAAGGAGAAAAGCUCAGAAGCCACCCAAUUUCCACUAGAGGCGAUAAAUUCCACAAGAAAAAAUAUUUUCGAAAUAUUAUAUGGCUAAAAUAUGACAGUUGUCUUGGUUUAUCCUCAUUUUGUUUCCAUUUCCUUGCAAAAAAAAAAAAAAAGUAUAAAUGAAUGAAUACAAGCCGUGACUCAGCCCCACUUUCCUAGUAACUGUGCUCACUUUCUCUCUUCUGGAUUCACCCCACAGACAUCUAACUAUCAGUAUCCAAACUUUCCCAUUUCCACUCUAGAUUAACCAAAGCUAUUUAGUGGUUCAACAGAGCUCUGACCUGACCUGAGACAAGCAACCAUGCUUCACUUAAAAUCUUUUCUUUUUACCUGUUUAAGCCUUCCUUCCAAGUAUUCUUUGACAGACUCUCAGAAAGCUGUAUCCUUAGUCUUCUCCUUUUAUCCUCCCACAUUAUCUCUGAGUUAUCUCAUCUGAAAUACAAAUACAACUAACAUCUCUGCAGAUGACUUACAGAUCUGUGUCUUUCCCCAGAGCUAUCUCUGUCUAUCCAAACUCAAAUCAUAGCCUUUUUCCUCUCUUCUGUGGACGACUAGCAGGAAGUUAAAGCUCAACAAAACUAGAACGUGGUUCCUUCUCUUCUCUGAAAGCCCUCUUAUUAUUUGCUUUGUGUGUAUCAUCACCAGUCUACCUGCCACUCAAGCUUGUAUGUCAACUGCCAGCUCUGACUGAAACCCUGUUGUAGAUCCUAGGACCCAGGGUACGUCUAAAUUUUAGGCUGCUUCUACAUGGCAUCUCUAAGACAAAGUCCUUUGAUCCAUCUGUGCAACUAACACACCCUUAUUUUGGUCUCCUUCUUCCAUACCUAGACUGCCCCAGUAUCUCUCCCUCCAGCAUUAACCAACACAGCUCAUAACAAAACAGCCAUCAACUGCUGUAAGGGCCAUGAUCUGACAACAAAGCAAGGCUGACUGUAGGCCUCCUAUUAAUGAUCAAAUACACCACAGCCAUCAAAUGAAAGCCACUAAUGCAAUUUAACUCAUUCUGCCAAUUCAGAUUUGUUCAGAAAAAAUGUUGAAGGGAUAAUUUUGUACCCCAGCAGACAUUAAAACCAGAUCAGGUAUUGUCAGUCCUUCCAGAGGCAGAACAACAACUCUGUAGUGUGGGCAGAAGCUAAUGUGAGGGCAAUGUGACACCAUGGCCAUACCUGAUCCUAAUCAAUUUAGUACUGCUGGGAGACUGGGCUGUGCACAGCCUGGGAAUUAGCAACUCAGGAACCACAAGCCAAGACUGGUUACUCUGACCACAUCACUUCUCUGUUUGAAGCAUUCUGCUAGUUCCCUCUUCUGUGUUGCAUCAAACAUUAUUUACUUAUCCUCUUUUCCAAAAGCAUCUACAGAAGGUCACCACCCUGUUCAUGACCUCCCAUUUCCUUUAUAGUUGACUUUUCCCCUCUAUUGCCCACUUGUUAAAACUCCAAUCAAAAUAUGUUUGUGCUUUCCUUCAUGCUGCUUUUGGGGCAUGGAGGAGACAUCCUACAGGAUUAAGCUGCUCAAGCAGUCCAGACAGCCCACGGAGUCUGGCCAGGCUCAAUCCAAUUUGGCUUGUGACAUUCAGUCUCACUCCAGCACCCCAUGUGCUACCAUGUCCAACAGAACAUAACUUGAUGAAGUCCAAUCUGUUUGACUAAGUACCGUCCAUACCUCAAGUCCACUCCAAGCUGCAGAAGGUUCCUAUUAAAAGCAGAAAAAGAUGCUUCAUUGAUGCUACUUCAGCAUGACUCAGGCCAAGAGUGUAUGUGAUUUGAAGAGAUUACAACACUCUGGCAUUGUUAACACAGCAACACAUCCUUUUCAAAGGAAAAUGUUACCAGUAUAGGUCACUGUAAUUUACUUAUAUUCAAAAUUAAUUGAAACAAAAGAAUCAGAGAGUGAAAAGAAUGCUUACCAACACUUGGGUUUUUGGGGUUUUUUUUGUUGGGUUUUUUUUUUUUUAUUAUUUUAACCUGUAUGGUCAUGUGAGAAAAUACUGCAGAACAGAUUGGCAGCCUUCUAUUAUUUUUCUUUCAAAUUCUGACAACAUAUCAUCUUCUUUCUGACUGCUUACAAAUGUGAUUUAAAAAACCCCUCAGUUAAAUCCUUCCUGAAAAACCUAAGACUGGUGGCUUAGGAAAUAUUUUUAUUUCUAUUUCUUCAUGUAAGUACACAGCUCUCUUAGAGACUGGAUCUGGAACACGGAGAAAAAGCACCGAAGAUUUUAUUGUGCUGCAUUUCAACCAGAAGGCUCCUACACCUGUUUAUUUCAACACAGAAACCAAAGUUCUCCAAUUGGAACAAUACUUUAGGAAGGAGGAAAAAAAAAAUGUACCACAUGUAAUAAAAGUGACAGCCAGAGUGUUCAAGGCCAGGUUGGAUGGGGCUGUGCGCAACCUGGUCUAGUGGAAGGAAGCAGGGAGAUUGGAACUAGAUGAUCUUUAAGACUCCUCCCAACCCAAACCAUUCUAUGAUUUUAUGACUCCGUAAUAUAUUUCUGGAUGGUUCUCAGAUCAUAUAUGGUGAUGUGAGCUGCAUGAAAAUGACAGAGAAGAAAAUGGAAUGCAAACUGAUGGAGACAGUUCAGAGUCUACAGGUAGAAAAAUGUAAUGCCACUUACCUAUGUUGGGAAUUCAGAAGUGAGCAACAGUUUCAGUUAUAAUUGUAAUGGUGCAGAAUUUUAUGGCAUGCAAGCAGAAGAGCAAUAAAAUGUGAUUUUAUACCAAUGCAAUUUACCUGUGUCUGAAGCUAGGGUAAUAAACACAAAUCACGAUGGACAGGGUCUUUGCCUGCCUGUACUGAGGCUUGCUAGACAUGUUACAUAGCAAUAUUUGGCCAUCAGCAACUGUAACUAGAAAAAAAAAAAAUCUUCAUAUAGCUCAGACACAGAAGAGAUUUAACUGUUCUUUGUUUUCACUUUGUAUUAACAUUGUUAAUUAUCAUUCUAACAGAAAACAGUUAACAGAGUGUGUUUGGAUAUUCCUCUCAAAUUAUUAGUAUACCUGUAAUUAAAUUAUGAUAUUUAUACCUAUUAAUAUCACAUAGAGAAAAAAGUUGUAUAAAAAGUUGAAAUGUAACAAGUGUUCUAUAUUUUUUGUUUUCUUACAUUUUUUCCAAUUAAAAGCAAAAGUUUGUCA